GAUGAACGCUAGCGGCAGGCUUAAUACAUGCAAGUCGAACGGUAAGGUCUCUUCGGAGAUACACGAGUGGCGCACGGGUGAGGAACACGUACACAAUCUACCUUAUACAGGAGAAUAGCCCCGGGAAACUGGGAUUAAUGCUCCAUAGUCUUCUAAGGCCGCAUGGUCUAAGAAGUAAAGCUCCGGCGGUAUAAGAUGAGUGUGCGUCCCAUUAGAUUGUUGGUGAGGUAACGGCUCACCAAGUCCGCGAUGGGUAGCUGGCGUGAGAGCGCGACCAGCCACACUGGCACUGAGACACGGGCCAGACUCCUACGGGAGGCAGCAGUAGGGAAUAUUGGUCAAUGGGCGAAAGCCUGAACCAGCCAUGCCGCGUGGAGGAUGGCGGCUCUCAGAGUUGUAAACUCCUUUUAUUUGGGAAGAAACCUCCGGAUUCACUCCGGAGCUGACGGUACCAUUUGAAUAAGCACCGGCUAACUCCGUGCCAGCAGCCGCGGUAAUACGGAGGGUGCAAGCGUUAUCCGGAUUCACUGGGUUUAAAGGGUGCGCAGGCGGGAAAUUAAGUCAGUGGUGAAAUCCCCGAGCUCAACUUGGGAACUGCCA
rnacentral:rRNA from 1 species